rnacentral:rRNA from 1 species
CCUACGGGAGGCAGCAGUGGGGAAUUUUGGACAAUGGGCGCAAGCCUGAUCCAGCAAUGCCGCGUGAGUGAAGAAGGCCUUCGGGUUGUAAAGCUCUUUUGUCAGGGAAGAAACGGUCUCAGCUAAUAUCUGGGGCUAAUGACGGUACCUGAAGAAUAAGCACCGGCUAACUACGUGCCAGCAGCCGCGGUAAUACGUAGGGUGCAAGCGUUAAUCGGAAUUACUGGGCGUAAAGCGUGCGCAGGCGGUUUUGUAAGUCUGUCGUGAAAGCCCCGGGCUCAACCUGGGAAUUGCGAUGGAGACUGCAAGGCUUGAAUCUGGCAGAGGGGGGUAGAAUUCCACGUGUAGCAGUGAAAUGCGUAGAGAUGUGGAGGAACACCGAUGGCGAAGGCAGCCCCCUGGGUCAAGAUUGACGCUCAUGCACGAAAGCGUGGGGAGCAAACAGGAUUAGAUACCCUGGUAGUCCACGCCCUAAACGAUGUCUACUAGUUGUCGGGUUUUAAUUAACUUGGUAACGCAGCUAACGCGUGAAGUAGACCGCCUGGGGAGUACGGUCGCAAGAUUAAAACUCAAAAUGAAAUUGACGGNNGAGAGNGACGAGACGACGACGAGGGAGGAGG